AAGUCGUAACAAGGUUUCCGUAGGUGAACCUGCGGAAGGAUCAUUAUCGAAUUUAUAACAAAGUUUGUUUUGAAAGGUUGAGCUGGCGCUUCGGCGUAUCGUGCUUACCUUUCUAGCGGCUUUGAUAUCCAUUCUUCAACACCUGUGCACACUUAAGUAAAAAGGAGGACUUUAAUGUGAAGAUUUUAACCUGGUUAAAAGCUUUGCAACUGUUGCCUUUCUGCUGCUUUACAACAUACCCUUCUUUUAAAAUGUUUAUGAACGUCUCAAUGUAGGCGCGCCUUAAAACAGCGACGCUGAAAUUAAAAACUUAUACAACUUUUAACAACGGAUCUCUUGGCUCUC
rnacentral:misc_RNA from 1 species